AUAUUCUUUCAAUGAAAGUUGUCGUUUUUGAAUAUAAAUAUCGAGAAAGUUUUGCCAAUACUCUAAAAAAUGUUAAAAGUGCAUUUUUAAUGGACAAAUAUCAAAGAAAAAACACAAAUUGAAAAAUGAAUGUUAGACAAUAUGAUUAUAUAGUUAAACUAUCUUUAUUUUAUGAUGAAUAUUUUAAAAUAUUUCCAUUAAUCUAGGCCAAAAUCUUAAUAAUGAAAAAAAUAUGUUGAUUUUUGCUACCCAAUUGCUCAAUCUGAGUCCCCUGACUGCAUAAAAGUCGAAUUCUUUGGCGCUUUGAAAUUGAUUAGUCACACAUUAUGAAACUUUAUUAUAUGCAUGGUAUACCAAAUUAGUUCCACAAUAUCAAAUAAUAUUCAAAAAUUAAAAUAUAAAAACAUAUUUUGACUUGAUACAGUCAGUUUUAGCUUAGCUUUCAAACAAUUGAUCAUGGACGGAAAACGAACUAUUUUUUUUAUUUUCUUAACGUUUGCCUUGUUCCUAACAUGCGCAUAUUCCUCAGAAUAUCGAACCUGUCGAAAUCCGAAAGAACCAUCUAAACGAAUUUUUGCUUUCUGCGAACCAAAGCCAAAAUGCCAAGAUCCAACAAAACAUCCAGAUAUGACAUUUGAUUCCCCUGACUGUAAGGAUGGGCAAUAUUGUUGCAAAGUCGUCGUAAUGUAAUGAUGAAAUGGCAAUACAAUAAUUCCUAAUUUGUUUCAUCAAAAGGUGACUGAAAUAAAUAUAAAUACGAA